rnacentral:rRNA from 1 species
UACGUAGGCAGCGAGCGUUGUUCGGAGUUACUGGGCGUAAAGAGUGCGUAGGCGGUCCUCUAAGUUUGGUGUGAAAUCUCCCGGCUUAACCGGGAGGGUGCGCCGAAAACUGGAGGGCUUGAGUAUGGGAGAGGUAAGCGGAAUUCCUGGUGUAGCGGUGAAAUGCGUAGAUAUCAGGAGGAACACCUGCGGUGUAGACGGCUUACUGGACCAUCACUGACGCUGAGGCACGAAAGCGUGGGUAGCAAACAGG